rnacentral:rRNA from 1 species
UACAGAGGGUGCGAGCGUUAAUCGGAAUUACUGGGCGUAAAGCGCACGUAGGUGGCGACGUAAGUCGGGUGUGAAAGCCCCGGGCUCAACCUGGGAAUUGCAUUCGAGACUGCAUUGCUGGAGUACGGAAGAGGAGGGCGGAGUUCCCGGUGUAGCGGUGAAAUGCGUAGAUAUCGGGAGGAACAUCAGUGGCGAAGGCGGCCCUCUGGUCCAGUACUGACACUCAAGUGCGAAAGCGUGGGGAGCAAACAGG